UUUAUUAGUUACAGAUUUUUGGUAGCAUGAGCGGCGGGUUUCGGCGCCCGCGGUCGGCGCUGCCGUCGUGUCUAGUGCGCGCCCCUCUGACCGGCGCCAUGAGAGCGGCCUCGCCGGUGGAUCUCAUGGACAAUGCGUGCAUCAUUAACCUUCUAUAGUCCUCCGCGGCGAAUCGCAUCACGUCGCCGGCCAUCUAGCCGUUCCCCUUUGCGGUGUGGUACGUCGUCUCGGCCGAAGCUGCAAUCUCCUCCGGCGCCCGCGUUGCUGAGCAGAGUUUCCUUAUGCAGCAGCAGCGCCGGCAACUCCUAUCCAUCUACCAAAGAAAGUGGCAUUAUCUUAUCCAUUCAGUAUGCAUCUUUUCCUCUUUACUGUGCGUUUGCACGAACAGGUGCAUAUCUCCCUUUGCCUUACCAUCUCCUCCUUGUAUUAAAUAAAUUUGAGCACCGUAUGUUUGCAUCUUGCUGUAAAGUGUACUUGAGAGACGAUGGUAGAGGAGUCAUCAAGGAAAAUGCUGGCAGAUGCAGCUACGAAAUUACUUGUUCCAGUAUUUUCUAUUAUUUGUGAAAUUGGAUAUGACUGGUAGGCUAUGUAAGAAAGAAAUUUUAUAUUAAUUGAGAAAAUGAUCUUGGUUCUUCAAUGGCUCUGUAACUUUAGAGCCACGUCCCUAAUGCAUACAUAUAUAACUGGUAUUGAUCUUGUCAAAUCAGUUGUUAGCCCUUGCUCGCAUAUUUUUGUUUACCUGUAAAUGCAGAGAGAAGUACCUUGCUGACAAAUAUAAUACUUCAGAGAUAACCAUUUAAAACAAUUUUAAAAACCAAUUUAAAACAGAUAAGGCUGCUAUGUCUUUCCAGAAAAAAAGGCUGCUAUGUCUGCAACACAUUAUAUUUGGUCAUUUAAGAAUGUUUGUAUUUGUUCUUAACUUAUACUUCUAGUUAUUAAAAAAAAUAUCUAUAAUAUAUCCUUGUAAACAAUGUUUUUUGCAACCUUGUCGGAUGGACGCUCUUCAUCCGAUAUAAGUAUCCGCAAUCCAUUUCUGCUGGUAACCCUUGACAUUGCAACAUAGAGUUGGCCAUGUGUGAACACUUGCCUUUCUAAGUAGAGUCCAACCUUUUUGAGAGAUUGCCCCUGACUUUUGUUUAUUGUCAUAGCAAAGCACACCGAUAUUGGGUAUUGUCUCCUUUUCAGAAUGAAUGGCCAUUUUGAAUCACUUGGUGACAUAAUAAUUCGUGGGAUGUAAACUUUGUCACCAAUGUUAGUACCUGUUAUGACCUGGCCUUCGAUGAAACGCUUUCCUAGCUGUGUUAUUGUUAGUCUUGUCCCAUUGCAAAGUCCUGCACUUUGAUUGAUGUUCCUCAUAAGCAUUACUGGUAAUCCUAUUUUCAGCCUCAGUUCAUGAUCUGGUAUUCCAGAAAAUGUUACUAUUUAGAAAUUCAGUUGGGUACAACAUAUCUUCGUCUUCCACCAUAGACAUUGCCUUGCAUGUUGUAUCUGAAACUGAGAUAGGUUACCUCUUCUCCAGGAAUUUGACUCAUGAUGUAGGUGUUAAUCUAGUCAACAGUCUCGUUCCUUGGGCACAGGAUCGCUCUUUCCUCUAGUCUUCAUCAUCUAUUGUUGCCGUUGUGCCAUCGCCGAUGUUUAGUAUCCAGUUUGCAAAUUCAGCUGUCUUUGCUUUCUCUUUUGGACUACCUUCGGAUGAAUUCAGACGCAUAUUUUCUGAUUUGUCUGAAGUCACCUCCCAAGACUACUGUCAUUCCUCCAAACGGUCUAUGCUCGGCAUCCUCAUUUGUGAAUCGAAAAUCGAACUAUCUGGUAGUGGCAUUCCUGGAAAUUCUUUGAGGGACUUACCACCUUUAGCCAAUAGGUGUUCGAUCUCUGCCAAGAGGAGGCUCUUUAUUUGCAAUGAGAUCAGUCACCUCGCAAAAUAAAAGUAUUGUGCAGAAAAGUUGGCGCAUUUGAGGAGCAGAGGCCCAAUGGGAUGCUUCCUUGAUGCAGUCAUCCCACUCCUUGUCGUCAUUAAGUAGCCCAAGAGAAUAACAUGCAGAUUUGUAUGUUGGAUGUACAACCCCAUCAACUGUUCGGAUUUCUUCAUAGGAUCUGCAUCCUUUCACGGUAUUUAGAAGCAUUCUCAAGUAGUAUUUUUCACCGAUUGUUGGUUGUGCAUAGUAAAUCCUGCCUAUGGUUUUUUUACCACCACGUCUCUUCCUCCAUUCUUUCUCGUUUGCAUGCCAAGUCCAUUUGGUUGGAAACUGUGCAUACGUCAAACUGCGAGCUUCCUCAUGCAAUUGGUUGGCUGUCAUCCAUUCUGUGAACAUUGUAUUUUCUAUGUUAGGCCGAGAUAUGAUUUUAUCUAAAUCCAUCGAGUCUGGGAAUACCACAACAUGUUCAUUUUCUAGGUGAAAUUGUAACCUUUCAACCGCAGGCUCUCUAUACUGAAGAGGAAACUGAAAUAUGCGCCAUGCGGCUUCACAUCCAGAUAUGUACCGAGCAUCAAGGUUUCUGGCCUGGAAUCAGAUCCAGCAUAUCCUGUAUUUCCGGCCAUUUCGGAUUGCAUGUAAAAGUGAUGAAGAGAUCAGGAUAGCCAGCCCAACGACAAAUCGCCAUGGCAUCUUGGUAGUUUUGCUGCUUAUUUCUAGGGCUACCAUUAUAUGUUGAGGGUAGUAUGAUUCUUUGGCCAACUUGUUCAGUUCGUGUAUCUCCAUUUUCUAUUGCAUCAUGCAGUCCUCUGUAUAGUUCUGUCCUCAGCUUUCCUUGGUUUGUCCUGUACCAAUUUAGUCUCCAUUGUUCAAUGCACGUUGCUGCAUCAACUAAGAACUGUAGGAACAAACGUCCACUCAUUUGCAAGGUUGUUGCUUGGUUAAGACGUUGUUGGAUGCGAUAUGCAUAAAACUCCAGCAUUGUUACAUACUCUCUUACCUUUGUCGCCUAUCUUUUUUUGAUACUCUAUUUCUGGUCUGAACCCAUCUUCUCCAUAUGGAAAAAGCAAGGGGUAUUGCAUUGACAUAUAGCUUGGGUGCAACUCUGAAAUCCUCUGUAACAUUCUGUCUUUGGUCUCAAUUAUUAUAUCAAAUUCAUUAUUUUCUCCAUCUUGUUCCCCAAUAAUUAGUGAUGCAACUUCUGAGGCAGAUGGGAGGCUGUAUUGCCGUCCAUCUUUCGACCUUUUGUUGAUCAAUCUUAGUCUUACAUCUUUAAUAUCUCAGUUUUCGAGCCUGUCCCUUGCCAUACGAAACGAUUUGACCAAAACAUUGUGCUCAUCUAGCAUCUCUAGUAGACCUUUGACAAUGUUUUCAUCUGGCUUUGUCUUAAUCUCCAUUGAAGUUGAUGCAGUAAUCCUGUUACGCACUUCAUUUUCUGUGUCAUGUAUGUACAAUUGGGCAAAUUUUGGUUUUGUCACGUCAUCUUUAGGAAGUAAAGUGCCAAUCUGAUGGUAGUUUUGGCCAUUCAAACGGAAAACAUAUGGUCCAGGUGUCUGCUUAUUAAUUUCAUAGUCAACCUUUCCUCCCAUUGAAGUGAACGCGAACAUGGAGUUGUACAACCUGAUGUUCUGGCGAAAAUUGGAUGACUCUCCUCUUUCAUUGUAACGUAGUAGCUGUCGGAGAUACAACGGAGCUUGCUUCAGUGGUGGUAAUUUAAUUUUCCCUUCCUUGCAGCAGAGACCAAACUUUGGAACUGUGAUGUUACAUGUGUUUGUGCUUCUCUCUCCAUGCCACAUAAUGGCAUUGCAAAAUUCCCAAACGCAAUUUGGUUUUCCCAAAUUUGAAACUUGAGUGACAUCCUUUGCUAUAUUUGAUACUUCACAGCCAUUAUUGUCCUUUUCUGUCCUUAUUCGUUUCCUUUCCCUUUUCAGCUGGAGUAUCUCUUUCCUUUUUCGUCUAGCUUCCUUCCUUGCUGCUCUGAUAAUAUCUGAUUGACUAUCAUUAGAUUCUACUGUCGCGAGCUGCGAGGUUCCUUGCUGAGGUAUUUGUAUUGUUUGGUCACCCAAUAUAUUGCUGCAUUAUAUUUUGGUAUCAUUUGAAUAAUCCAGGUAAAUUAAUGUCUAUAUAAUUAUUUUUUGGUAUUGGGGUAAUGAAUACCUUCUGUUGUUUUGAUUUGGUCCACCGUUACUUCGACGCAAGUUGAGUGCAGCUAGUGAAUCCUGAAAUGAGGGGAAAAAAUUGUAACGCUUUGUUUGAGAGCAACAACAUGCAGAUAGAAUUAAGUAUAUGGAACUCAGCAGUAUUUCCUUUCUGGAGCCGAAGAUCUGGCAUGUACCCCAUGUAAUAUUUCUCACUGAAUAUUUAACCUUGACUGUAGAAAUUAAAAUAUAUUCCUCAUUGGGAACAUCACAAAAAAAUUAAGUACAUGCUAGUGAGGACAUCUUAUAAGCACCUGAUUCCUUUUCUGCUGAAGUAUUUCUUUCCUUUUCCGUGCAGCAUCCUUCAUUGCUGCUCUAAUGAUGUCUGGUUGAUUAUCAUUAGAUUGUAGAGUGGCAAGUUUGGAGGUUGCUUUGUCAGGUCUUUCAUUGCUGCAUUAGAUUUUGGUGCCAUUUUAAUAAUCUAGGUAAAUUAAUGGGUAUAAAAUUGUUUUUAUAUUGUGGUAACCAAUACCUAUUGUUGUUUUUGUUGAGUCCAUUGCGAGUUCGACGCAUGCUGACUGCAGGUAGUUAAUCCUGAAAAAUAUGAGGGAAAAAUGUAAGCAUUUUGUCCAAGAACAACAACAUGCAAAGAGUAUCAAGUAUUUUGAUAGUUGACCCGUGCACUUGGAUGUGCUAGUAUCAUAUUGAUAGUCGAAAUCCAUUCAUAUUUAACUUUCUUAGAAUUUUAUUCCUCAUCGGGGUUAUCACAAAGUAUGUAAGCAGUACAUGAUAGUGAGGACAUCUUGUAAGCACCUUAUUUUACUUGUCUGGAAAUUCUGAGUUGCUGACGAUAAGUUUAAUGUACACAUGUCAGGUACCGCAUUGUUUUGAAGGAUGUUGUCUGGAUCAAUCAGUUUCCUGGAAAUAUUCCUGUUCUCCUACUGAUAGUUUGCCAACAAAGAAUUGUAGAUCAUGUACAUGUGUUAUUACCUUUUAAGCAGAGGACAUACUAUAUGGUUUGUAAUUGGCAAACUAAUUUUGAUGAUUGUUCAUCAAUUUCUCUGUAGUUGCAAUUAACAAAGCAUAUGUGAUGAGAUUACAGAGUUGAUGCAUAUAGUAGUGGAAGUUGGUAAUGAUUACCUGCAAGUACUGGCACACAACCUAUCUGCUCCUUACUGCUUGCCGUGUAAGGAUUAAUUAUCGCCUGUAUGUGAUGUGGGAUGAGAUCAGAGGUGAUGUCUUGCCGCGAUGAAGGAUGUGAUCGGCGGCGGGCGAUGUGGCAGAAAAGAGAGAUAAGAAGAUUCUGCUAUGUAGAAUUUGUCACGCGUACAUUUAGAUCUGAGCAGUUAGUCUUAGCGCUGUAUGUCUUAUAUAUGCACGUCUUCGUUCCAUACACGUAUAGUCUAU